AUGCAGAUGACGAGUCCCAAAUAGGACACAACGUACGUCCUGGAU
rnacentral:hammerhead_ribozyme from 1 species